GAUGAACGCUGGCGGCGUGCCUAAUACAUGCAAGUAGAACGCUGAAGGAGGAGCUUGCUCUUCUGGAUGAGUUGCGAACGGGUGAGUAACGCGUAGGUAACCUGCCUGGUAGCGGGGGAUAACUAUUGGAAACGAUAGCUAAUACCGCAUGACAACAGUUAUUGCAUGAUAACUGUUUAAAAGGGGCAACUGCUCCACUACCAGAUGGACCUGCGUUGUAUUAGCUAGUUGGUGAGGUAACGGCUCACCAAGGCGACGAUACAUGGCCGACCUGAGAGGGUGAUCGGCCACACUGGGACUGAGACACGGCCCAGACUCCUACGGGAGGCAGCAGUAGGGAAUCUUCGGCAAUGGACGGAAGUCUGACCGAGCAACGCCGCGUGAGUGAAGAAGGUUUUCGGAUCGUAAAGCUCUGUUGUAAGAGAAGAACGAGUGUGAGAGUGGAAAGUUCACACUGUGACGGUAUCUUACCAGAAAGGGACGGCUAACUACGUG
rnacentral:rRNA from 1 species